GACGAACGCUGGCGGCGUGCUUAACACAUGCAAGUCGAACGGAAAGGCCCUGCUUUUGUGGGGUGCUCGAGUGGCGAACGGGUGAGUAACACGUGAGUAACCUGCCCUUGACUUUGGGAUAACUUCAGGAAACUGGGGCUAAUACCGGAUAGGAGCUCCUGCUGCAUGGUGGGGGUUGGAAAGUUUCGGCGGUUGGGGAUGGACUCGCGGCUUAUCAGCUUGUUGGUGGGGUAGUGGCUGACGAAGGCUUUGACGGGUAGCCGGCCUGAGAGCGUGACCGGCCACAAUGGGACUAAGAGAGGCCGCAGUAGGCAACGGGAGGCAGCGGGGGGGAGUAUUGCGCAGCAGCCCCGCGCCUGAGGCGAAGGUCCCGCGUGCGGAAAGCUGGGCUUCGAGUUAAGAACAAAUGUGUCCUGUGACGUGGAGGGCGUGACGGUAAUUGGUAAGGAAGCACCGGCUAACUACGUG
rnacentral:rRNA from 1 species